GAAUCCUACGGGACGCAGCAGUGGGGAAUAUUGCACAAUGGGGGAAACCCUGAUGCAGCAACGCCGCGUGAAGGAGGACGGUUUUCGGAUUGUAAACUUCUUUUCUUAGUGAAGAAGCGAGUGACGGUAGCUAAGGAAUAAGCAUCGGCUAACUACGUGCCAGCAGCCGCGGUAAUACGUAGGAUGCGAGCGUUAUCCGGAAUUACUGGGUGUAAAGGGAGCGCAGGCGGGGCUGCAAGUUGGAUGUGAAAUACCGCAGCUUAACUGCGGAGCUGCAUCCAAAACUGUAGUUCUUGAGUGGAGUU
rnacentral:rRNA from 1 species